rnacentral:rRNA from 1 species
GAUGAACGCUGGCGGCGUGCUUAACACAUGCAAGUCGAACGAGAAAUGGAGACGGAACCCUUCGGGCGGAAGGCUUCAUUUCGAGUGGCGGACGGGUGAGUAACGCGUGGGUAACCUGCCUCAUACAGGGGGAUAACAGUUGGAAACGACUGUUAAUACCGCAUAAGACCACAGCACCGUAUGGUGCGGGGGUAAAAACUCCGGUGGUAUGAGAUGGACCCGCGUUCGAUUAGCCAGUUGGCGGGGUAACGGCCCACCAAAGCGACGAUCGAUAGCCGAUCUGAGAGGAUGACCGGCCACAUUGGGACUGAGACACGGCCCAAACUCCUACGGGAGGCAGCAGUGGGGAAUAUUGCACAAUGGGGGAAACCCUGAUGCAGCGACGCCGCGUGAGUGAAGAAGUACUUCGGUAUGUAAAGCUCUAUCAGCAGGGAAGAAAAUGACGGUACCUGAGUAAGAAGCCCCGGCUAACUACGUG